rnacentral:rRNA from 1 species
AACAAACGCUGGCGGCGUGCCUAACACAUGCAGGUCGUACGAGAAAGGGUCCUUCGGGGCCUGAGUAAAGUGGCGCACGGGUGAGUAACGCGUGGAUAAUCUACCCUUCAGUUGGGAAUAACUCAUCGAAAGGUGGGCUAAUACCGAAUAAUGCUGUGAGACCUCGGUCGAUCAGCCAAAGAGAGCCUCUGCUUGCAAGCCCUCGCUGAAGGAUGAGUCCGCGUACCAUUAGCUAGUUGGUAGGGUAAUGGCCUACCAAGGCGACGAUGGUUAGCUGGUCUGAGAGGAUGAUCAGCCACACUGGAACUGAGACACGGUCCAGACUCCUACGGGAGGCAGCAGUGAGGAAUCUUGCGCAAUGGGGGCAACCCUGACGCAGCAACGCCGCGUGAGUGAGGAAGGUCUUCGGAUCGUAAAGCUCUGUCGGAUGGAAAGAACCGCAUAGGGGUAAAUAGCCCCUGUGUCUGACGGUACCAUCAAAGGAAGCACCGGCUAACUCCGUGCCAGCCGCCGCAGUAAGAC